CGCACUAGUCGGGGAGAUAGCGGUGCCCUGUAACCUGCAAUCCGCUACAGCAGGGAUGAAUUCCCAUACCCGGAUCAGUUGCAAUACCGUCUGGCCCGCGUAAGCGGCGUUGAAGAACCGGUCUCACGCAAUGGGCUCCCGUGAACCAUGUCAGGUGGGGAACCAAGCAGCAUUAAGCGGAUCUGUCCCGUGUGCCGUGAGGUUGCCGUUUCCGAGCUGGCUGCGCCGGUAUCGGG
rnacentral:SRP_RNA from 1 species